rnacentral:rRNA from 1 species
AUGGGGUGCAGCAGGCGCGAAACCUUCACAAUGUGCGAAAGCACGAUGAGGGGAUCCCAAGUGCUUGCUCGUAAGAGUAAGCUGUUUUUAUGUCUAAAAAGCAUAGAGAGUAAGGGCUGGGUAAGACGGGUGCCAGCCGCCGCGGUAAUACCUGCAGCUCAAGUGGUGACCACUAUUAUUGGGCCUAAAACGUUCGUAGCCGGUUUGGUAAAUGCCUGGGUAAAUCGUGUAGCUUAACUAUACGAAUUCCGGGUAGACUGCCAAACUUGAGACCGGGAGAAGCUAGAGGUACCCCUGGGGUAGAGGUGAAAUUCUGUAAUCCUGGGGGGACCACCAGUGGCGAAGGCGUCUAGCUAGAACGGGUCUGGCGGUGAGGAACGAAGCCCUGGGGCGCAAACCGGAUUAGAUACCCGGGUAGUCCAGGGUGUAAACGCUGCUUGCUUGAUGUUAGUUGGGCUCCGAGCCCAAUUAGUGUCGGAGAGAAGUUGUUAAGCAAGCUGCCUGGGAAGUACGAUCGCAAGAUUGAAACUUAAAGGAAUUGGCGGGGGAGCAC